rnacentral:rRNA from 1 species
UCAGGACGAACGCUGGCGGCGUGCCUAAUACAUGCAAGUCGAACGGCUUUUCUAUGGAAGCUUGCUUCCACUGAGAAGAUAGUGGCGAACGGGUGAGUAACACGUGGGUAACCUGCCCAUAAGAGGGGGGAUAACAUCCGGAAACGGGUGCUAAUACCGCAUAGUUUUCUUGAUCGCAUGAUUGAGAAAGGAAAGACGGCCUUUGUGCUGUCGCUUAUGGAUGGACCCGCGGCGUAUUAGUUAGUUGGUGAGGUAACGGCUCACCAAGACGAUGAUACGUAGCCGACCUGAGAGGGUGAUCGGCCACAUUGGGACUGAGACACGGCCCAAACUCCUACGGGAGGCAGCAGUAGGGAAUCUUCCGCAAUGGACGAAAGUCUGACGGAGCAACGCCGCGUGAGUGAAGAAAAGGGUUUUCGGAUCGUAAAACUCUGUUGUCAGAGAAGAACAAGUUGGAGAGUAACUGCUCCAGCCUUGACGGUAUCUGACCAGAAAGCCACGGCUAACUACGUGCCAGCCGCAGC